AUCUUAUUCCUCCACUAAACAGGUGUCUGUGGAGGGCGCACCUGCUUAGCAGGACACAGGGCCCAUUCCUAACCUUGGGGGCUCCCAGUCUGGUGGUGGAGACAUAGUAAGCAAGGGGUGACAGUGCUGUGGAUAAGCUGUCCCGUGUGAAACCAGGUAAUGGACAGCUCAAUGCCGCUGAUUGGAGAGCAUGUGGAAGAGGACAGACAGCUGAUGGCCGACCUUGUUGUCUCCAAAAUGAGCCAGCUCCCGAUGCCAGGAGGCACAGCGCCCUCCCCCCUCAGACCUUGGGAGGCCCUCGCCAAGCUCAGUCUCCUCAGCCCCAGAGAUCUGGAAGCCCCUCCCAACAGAGGCUCUCCCCACAAGGCCAGCAGCCCCUGAGCCCCCAGUCCGGAUCUCCACAGCAGCAAAGGUCACCAGGCUCUCCGCAGCUAUCCCGGGCAUCCAGUGGCAGCUCCCCAAACCAGGCCUCCAAGCCAGGUGCCACCCUCACCUCACAGCCCCGGCCCCCUGUGCAGGGCCGUAGUACCUCCCAGCAGGGUGAAGAGUCCAAGAAGCCAGCACCACCCCAUCC
rnacentral:sRNA from 1 species